rnacentral:rRNA from 1 species
GACGAACGCUGGCGGCGUGCCUAAUACAUGCAAGUAGAACGCAGUUGCGAACGGGUGAGUAACGCGUAGGUAACUGCCUCAUAGCGGGGGAUAACUAUUGGAAACGAUAGCUAAUACCGCAUACUGUGAGAUGGACCUGCGUUGUAUUAGCUAGUUGGUGAGGUAAAGGCUCACCAAGGCGACGAUACAUAGCCGACCUGAGAGGGUGAUCGGCCACACUGGGACUGAGACACGGCCCAGACUCCUACGGGAGGCAGCAGUAGGGAAUCUUCGGCAAUGGACGGAAGUCUGAUGCAGCCAUGCCGCGUGUAUGAAGAAGGCCUUCGGGUUGUAAAGUACUUUCAGCGAGGAGGCGUUACUCGCAGAAGAAGCACCGGCUAACUCCGUGCCAGCAGCCGCGGUAAUUC